AGUUUGAUCCUGGCUCAGAUUGAACGCUGGCGGCAGGCCUAACACAUGCAAGUCGAGCGGUAGCACAGAGAGCUUGCUCUCGGGUGACGAGCGGCGGACGGGUGAGUAAUGUCUGGGAAACUGCCUGAUGGAGGGGGAUAACUACUGGAAACGGUAGCUAAUACCGCAUAACGUCGCAAGACCAAAGUGGGGGACCUUCGGGCCUCAUGCCAUCAGAUGUGCCCAGAUGGGAUUAGCUAGUAGGUGGGGUAACGGCUCACCUAGGCGACGAUCCCUAGCUGGUCUGAGAGGAUGACCAGCCACACUGGAACUGAGACACGGUCCAGACUCCUACGGGAGGCAGCAGUGGGGAAUAUUGCACAAUGGGCGCAAGCCUGAUGCAGCCAUGCCGCGUGUGUGAAGAAGGCCUUCGGGUUGUAAAGCACUUUCAGCGGGGAGGAAGGCGUUAAGGUUAAAAACCCUUGGGCGAUUGACGUUACCCCGCAGAAAAAAGCACCGGCUAAACUCCGUGCCAGCAGCCGCGGUAAUACGGAGGGUGCAAGCGUUAAUCGGAAUUACUGGGCGUAAAGCGCACGCAGGCGGUCUGUCAAGUCGGAUGUGAAAUCCCCGGGCUCAACCUGGGAACUGCAUUCGAAACUGGCAGGCUAGAGUCUUGUAGAGGGGGGUAGAAUUCCAGGUGUAGCGGUGAAAUGCGUAGAGAUCUGGAGGAAUACCGGUGGCGAAGGCGGCCCCCUGGACAAAGACUGACGCUCAGGUGCGAAAGCGUGGGGAGCAAACAGGAUUAGAUACCCUGGUAGUCCACGCCGUAAACGAUGUCGAUUUGGAGGUUGUGCCCUUGAGGCGUGGCUUCCGGAGCUAACGCGUUAAAUCGACCGCCUGGGGAGUACGGCCGCAAGGUUAAAACUCAAAUGAAUUGACGGGGGCCCGCACAAGCGGUGGAGCAUGUGGUUUAAUUCGAUGCAACGCGAAGAACCUUACCUGGUCUUGACAUCCACAGAACUUUCCAGAGAUGGAUUGGUGCCUUCGGGAACUGUGAGACAGGUGCUGCAUGGCUGUCGUCAGCUCGUGUUGUGAAAUGUUGGGUUAAGUCCCGCAACGAGCGCAACCCUUAUCCUUUGUUGCCAGCGGUUCGGCCGGGAACUCAAAGGAGACUGCCAGUGAUAAACUGGAGGAAGGUGGGGAUGACGUCAAGUCAUCAUGGCCCUUACGACCAGGGCUACACACGUGCUACAAUGGCAUAUACAAAGAGAAGCGACCUCGCGAGAGCAAGCGGACCUCAUAAAGUAUGUCGUAGUCCGGAUUGGAGUCUGCAACUCGACUCCAUGAAGUCGGAAUCGCUAGUAAUCGUAGAUCAGAAUGCUACGGUGAAUACGUUCCCGGGCCUUGCACACACCGCCCGUC
rnacentral:rRNA from 1 species